GAUGAAGAACGUAGUGAAAUGCGAUAAGUAAUGUGAAUUGCAGAAUUCAGUGAAUCAUCGAAUCUUUGAACGCACAUUGCGCCCGCCAGUAUUCUGGCGGGCAUGUCUGUUCGAGCGUCAUUUCAACCCUCAAGCCCAGCUUGGUGUUGGGGAUCGGCACAGGCGCCCUCGGGCGCCCGCCGUCCCCUAAAUCUAGUGGCGGUCCCGCUGCAGCCUCCUCUGCGUAGUAGUUUUCUCCUCGCAAGGGCAGCUCGGUGGCGACCUCGCCGUAAAACCCCCAACUUCUGAAAGGUUGACCUCGAAUCAGGUAGGAAUACCCGCUGAACUUAAGCAUAUCAAUAAGCGGAGGA
rnacentral:misc_RNA from 1 species